rnacentral:rRNA from 1 species
GAUCAUGGCUCAGGAUGAACGCUGGCGGCGUGCUUAACACAUGCAAGUCGAACGAAGCGCUUUGGAUGGAUUUCUUCGGAUUGAUAUCCUUAGUGACUGAGUGGCGGACGGGUGAGUAACGCGUGGGUAACCUGCCUCAUACAGGGGGAUAACAGUUAGAAAUGGCUGCUAAUACCGCAUAAGCGCACAGUACCGCAUGGUACCGUGUGAAAAACUCCGGUGGU